rnacentral:rRNA from 1 species
UACGAAGGGGCUAGCGUUGCUCGGAAUCACUGGGCGUAAAGGGUGCGUAGGCGGGUCUUUAAGUCAGGGGUGAAAUCCUGGAGCUCAACUCCAGAACUGCCUUUGAUACUGAAGAUCUUGAGUUCGGGAGAGGUGAGUGGAACUGCGAGUGUAGAGGUGAAAUUCGUAGAUAUUCGCAAGAACACCAGUGGCGAAGGCGGCUCACUGGCCCGAUACUGACGCUGAGGCACGAAAAGCGUGGGG